CCAGAGUCGCCCCUUCGGGGGCACACUCCAACCCCAUGUGCAUCCACCCUGUUGCUUUGGCGGACCGGCUCUCGCAGCCGCCGGCCUCGGCCGGACGGCGUCCGCCAGAGGAUCGCAUCCAAAACUCCUGUGAAACCUGUCGUCGGAGUCUGAGCGAGAAUAUCUUAA
rnacentral:misc_RNA from 1 species